GUAGGUGGCAAGCGUUGUCCGGAAUUAUUGGGCGUAAAGCGCGCGCAGGCGGUUCUUUAAGUCUGAUGUGAAAGCCCACGGCUCAACCGUGGAGGGUCAUUGGAAACUGGAGAACUUGAGUACAGAAGAGGAAAGCGGAAUUCCACGUGUAGCGGUGAAAUGCGUAGAGAUGUGGAGGAACACCAGUGGCGAAGGCGGCUUUCUGGUCUGUAACUGACGCUGAGGCGCGAAAGCGUGGGGAGCAAACAGGGAUUAGAUACCCUGGUAGUCCACGCCGUAAACGAUGAGUGCUAAGUGUUAGGGGGUUUCCGCCCCCUUAGUGCUGCAGCUAACGCAUUAAGCACUCCGCCUGGGAUACGGCCGCAAGGCUG
rnacentral:rRNA from 1 species